CAGCACUAUGAAGCCCAGCUCAAGGCCAGAGGCCUUGUUUACAUAUUUUUGUGAAAAACUAGUAAGGAGGUGUCUAGCUUUUGGAGUGCUGAUUUUUUCCAGACAGUAGCCAAGUAAAACAGGGCAACAUGAAAAUAGGAAGUUUAUCUACAUUAAACUCUUUUGUAGAGAUUCUUUUGCUGAAAGUCCUAAAAUCAGCCAUGGUGAAGACUUCUGGAGAAGGUGGGCAAACAGGUUUGCCGGACAAUCAACAGCCAAAUCCUGCCGACAUCACCAUUGGGUUUAGGACUCCAGGAAGGGGAAACUCACCAAUCGAAGGACCAUUUUGGAAUUCACACACUUUUUUUUUUCUUCCGGAAUUUCAACAGAAGUGUAUCUGGCUCCAUACUGGUGGCUGGAGGCCAUCAAGGGACUGAACAGAGAGAACCAGGCCAUCUGGGGCACAGGUGGCUGUGGGGGAGGAAGAUGGUGGGCAGCAAUGAGAAGUGCUUGUG